GUUUUAGUUUUUCCCGCCUAAACCACACUUCCCUUUCCUUUGGUGCACGGGUUAGGAGGACCCGUUUUGUAAUAUGGGUCAAAAUCGAUGAAGACUAUAGUUCUAAGUUCUCAAUCUCAAUAGUCUUCUUCACCACGCUUCCACCUGCACCGUUUCCCCUUUUAUUUUCUUUUGCAAGUUGUAUCGUACUACACACACAUUAAGGUUUAUUCUUGGAUCUCUUUCUGCUAAUCCUCCCACGACCAUUGAAUCUGAUGUGUUCUUCGUCAAAAAGGCUCUCUAAUCGGGUACACCAUUCCCAACCUUCUAGCAGCGGUAUGCUUUCAUCUCUGUAUCUCUAAACGAAGUAUCAAUCUGAUAACUAAGGAUCAUUCUUGAUGGGUUUUCACGCUGGUGUCGCACCUGGAGUGCCAACGAAGAUGAUUUAAUCAAGAAUGAUGUUGGAUCUGAAACGGUAUUCUACAUAUCUAUUGACAAUAGCUACAUGACAAAGCGAUGCUAGACACUCUAACAAAGAUGAAUUAGAGGAUUCCCAUGCACCAUAUGAAGUUAUUUUGUUACCAGGUAAAAGUGUCUUUUUCCUUUUUGGUUUCCUUUCUCUAUCUAUAAAUAUUGUAGUUUGGUAAGUGUAACUUUUGGUAAGUCAUCAAAAAACGUUUACUUGAUGUUCGUUGUUGUAUCGUAAUCUUAUAUAUUUGACAAUCAGUGAAUGAUAUACUAUUGGAAGUUUUGCUUUCUUAAGCCAUUUG
rnacentral:lncRNA from 1 species